GCUCAGUGUUUCUCAUGGCUGGAUGGUUGUACUACUAGCGUCAGUGUAGCCCCGGCUCUCUCCUACUCGUGUGAUGUCUUUACCUUCAUCGUUACUGGAUUCUAAUUGCCUGUCCAGAUUUCCCUGGAUCUGUCCCUGUUUCCUCCCUGGAUACCUGAGCAUGAGUUUGGAAGAUCAUGUGUGUUUCUGGCAGUGUGGGGUGCACAGACGAGGAGCGUGGCUGUGUGACAGCAGCGUAGUGUGAACCAGCCGUGACCUCUGAUUACUGCUGAGAGCCUUGAAGGACGAAUGGAAGAACUCUAGUACUGGUAACAAUAAGGCUGCAGGGAUGAGGUUUAGAUAACAAUGUGCAGUCCCACAAUUCUGUGUGUAUCCUUCAAGAAGAUCAAUAAGAAUGUCCAGAUGCACCCAGGACAGCUAUUUUUUUUAAU